ACGGCAGGAGAUCAGCAGUGUCUGGUGAAGUGGGCUGGUAGCUGCUUGUAUGAUAUUGAAUCUCUUAACAGAAUGGUCGAUCCUGCAAUCUAGGGCCAAUGCACCUCCAAGUCUUUGUCCCAAUUCGCAGAUGUCAUCAGCUGUUGUAUUCAGCCCCAGCCAGAUUUCAGACCUCCAAUGUCUCAGGUUUCUGAAAUGCUGGUUUGUGUGCUUCACCAAACAGAAUCCAGCGGACAUGACUGAGAUGAGAUGCCUUUGAUGUCUUCAUUGCAGACGGCCCAAAUUGAUACACCAUGUAAGCAAUUAUACAGUUUUUUAAAGACUAUAUAAAUUUAUAGGAUGUUGAAUUGAUGCAUCCAACAAAACCAAAAUAAAAUAUACAGUUCAGAGGGUGAAAUUUUAUGGUGAUGUGCCAUUUCUUGAAUGAUUUCAAUGGUCUGAAUUUUUACCGCGCAAGUUAGAUCAAUUUGAGUUUAUCCUA